rnacentral:rRNA from 1 species
UUGGUUUCUAUCNUCUAAAAAAUUUUUCACAGNNCGAAAGGACCAGAAAAAUUAAUUAUAUUAUUAAAUUGGCAGAAUAAUGCAUUAGAAUUAGAAUCUAAUUAUAAUUAAAUAUUAUUUAUAAUUAAUUAUAUUAUU